rnacentral:piRNA from 1 species
UGGUGUGUAGAUGCCCUGAUGUUGAAGC